CUCGAACAUCGGCAAAAUAGCGGUUCUGAUUGGCAUUGGCAGGGGACAAUUUUAAUUAGCAAGUAGGUAUUCUUGAAUUUAUCGUUUAUACUGAUAGUAUAGGUUUUUUCUUUUCUUUUGGCUACUAGAGCUACAUAACAUGGAUUUUGGACGGAUUUUUUUUGUACGGACCUGAUUUCUUCAUGCCACAUGGUGCUUCCGUUUUGGGGUUAUGUACUCUACUGGCUCUAAUCUAGAAGGAGAUUUUAAGCAACUGUGAGCUAACGUCUAACCUAGACCACUACCAGAGCUUGGCGUAUUGUGAAGUGGAAGAGGUGAAGCUUGGAAGCCUGCAGUUUUUUCCUUGACUGGGAAUUGGAUGUCUGGGAGAGUCUCGAAUAUGAAGUAGUCUGCUGUGUAUGGAGCUAAGUGACAGAACAUAACAUUUUUUUUUAUUCACUUGUUUUAUUUUAUUUUUAUUAUCACGACUUUUAUCUUUUGAGUUGAGAUACAUACAUAAGCUUAUUUAAAAUUUUAUUGACAUUAUUUAAUCGAUGCUAUUUUAUUAUUGAAUAUUACUGAUAAGAGUACAUAUAUAUGUGACAAGUGACUCCUGUGAGGUAAGACGCAGCCGGCUUCGUAGUACUACGAGUAUAUACUUGGGUUAUAUUAUUUAUUUUCAGACUACUCCUAAGAUGUCAAAUUUUCUCAGAUUAGCUAGUAAAUGUUAGAGUAAACUAAUAAAAGGGUAAUUUUAAGUGGGGAAGCUUCAACAGUUAGGGUUGUUAUUUUUUUUUGCUUAGGUCAAUGUCCGUGGCGGGAUAUACCGGGCCAUGUAAGUUAUUAGUUUAAUUGAAUUGAAGCUUCAUUCCCCAAAAGGUUUGGGUGUAACAUAGUUUGUUUUAUUUCGACAACCACACUUUGAUUGUGUAUUUUUUGUGUGAUGUUGUGGUUCCUUAUUACCAACUUAAAUAAUUAUUCCUCUUAACAAUAAAUAACAUAACAUAAUUCUCUGUGAUAAUCAAGACUGAAAUAAAUUGUUAUUUUCUGUUGUUAA